rfam:TPA: Bos taurus chromosome 9, whole genome shotgun sequence.
UCCCUCGUGGUCCAGUGAUCAGGGUUCUGUGCUUCUACUUCAGGGGGCACAGGUUUGAUUCCUGGUCAGGGAA